GAACGAGAAAGUGGAGCAAUCCAUGAGUAAAGUGGCGACCGGGUGAGUAACACGUGACUAACCUACCUCCGAGUGGGGAAUAACUCCGGGAAACCGGGGCUAAUACCGCAUAACAUCGCAAGAUCAAAGCAGCAAUGCGCUUGGAGAGGGGGUCGCGGCUGAUUAGCUAGUUGGUAGGGUAACGGCCUACCAAGGCGACGAUCCGUAGCUGGUCUGAGAGGACGACCAGCCACACUGGGACUGAGACACGGCCCAGACUCCUACGGGAGGCAGCAGUGGGGAAUAUUGGACAAUGGGGGAAACCCUGAUCCAGCGACGCCGCGUGUGUGAAGAAGGCCUGCGGGUUGUAAAGCACUUUUAGUGGGGAUGAAAAGCUCANGGGCUAACACCUCUGAGUCUUGACCUAACCCACAGAAAAAGCACCGGCUAACUCUGUG
rnacentral:rRNA from 1 species